rnacentral:rRNA from 1 species
GACGAACGCUGGCGGCGUGCUUAACACAUGCAAGUCGAGCGGAAAGGCCCUUUCGGGGGUACUCGAGCGGCGAACGGGUGAGUAACACGUGAGUAAUCUGCCCUGGACUCUGGGAUAGCCACCGGAAACGGUGAUUAAUACCGGAUAUGACACCUUGCUGCAUGGUGGGGUGUGGAAAGUUUUUUCGGUCCAGGAUGUGCUCGCGGCCUAUCAGCUUGUUGGUGAGGUAAUGGCUCACCAAGGCUUUGACGGGUAGCCGGCCUGAGAGGGUGACCGGUAACACUGGGACUGAGACACGGCCCAGACUCCUACGGGAGGCAGCAGGGGGGAAUAUUGGACAAUGGGCGGAAGCCUGAUCCAGCAACGCCGCGUGAGGGAUGACGGCCUUCGGGUUGUAAACCUCUUUCAGUACCAACGAAGCGAAAGUGACGGUAGGUACAGAAGAAGGACCGGCCAACUACGUGCCAGCCGCCGCAGUAAAAC